ensembl:snRNA U6 U6 spliceosomal RNA
GUGCUAACUUCAGCACGUACUCUGUAAUUGGAAUGAUACAGAUUACCAUGGCCUCUGCAUAGGAUGACACACAAAGUUGUGAAGUGUUCCAUAUUUUU